GCCGGCGCGGCCAUGCCUGGGCGUCAGGAGGGGCUCGGGGAAGGUGGCAGUGCGGGUCAGCUUUGCUGGCAGGACGGUGAGUGCUGGGCAGGGAAUGGGGCGCAUCAGGAAAAACAGGGGGACUGGGUGAUGGUGGGGGGCUCACGGCUCUGCCUGAUGCAGCUCUGCACCCGAGUGAUGCUCCCCAGUGCCAACCCCGAGUGGAACGAGGUCUUCUUCUUCCCACUGAGGCUGCCCCCCAUCUGUGAGGAGAUCCAGCUGGACCUUCUCCGGGGGUCAUGCCGGAGCAAAGUCCUGGGCACUGCCACCAUCCACCUGUCCCAGAUCUACCAAGACCCUGAGGAACUCCAGGGGGGGACCCCCGGCUUCCUACCCUGCUUUGGACCCGCCUUCCUGCCCCUGUAUGGUCCCCGGCCCGACUGUGCCCGGGUACAGAGUGAGAGGGUGACAGGGUGGGCACAAGGGGGGUGACGGGAUAGGCACAGGGGGAUGGCAGGAUGGGCACAGAGGCCUUUUUGGGGAGGGAUGCCCACCCAAACCUCCCCUUUGUUACCCAGGACUUGGGGGUGGAUUAUCGGGGUCGGGUGCUCCUGGAGAUCUGCACCAGUGAGGGGACCCCAGACGAGCGGCAGAGAGACAUUGUGGCACCCGUGGAUGUGGAACGGGCACAGGUGGGACAUGGGGACAGGGGGACAUGGAGACAUGGGGGAUAUGGGGACACGGGGAUAUGGAGGAUGUGGGACAUGGGGACACAU
rnacentral:lncRNA from 1 species